rnacentral:rRNA from 1 species
AACGAACGCUGGCGGCAUGCCUAACACAUGCCAGUCGAACGAGACCUUCGGGUCUAGUGGCGCACGGGUGCGUAACGCGUGGGAACCUGCCCUCAGGUUCGGAAUAACUCCCCGAAAGGGGUGCUAAUACCGGAUAAUGUCUUCGGACCAAAGAUUUAUCGCCUUUGGAUGGGCCCGCGUUGGAUUAGCUAGUUGGUAGGGUAAAAGCCUACCAAGGCGACGCUCCAUAGCUGGUCUGAGAGGAUGAUCAGCCACACUGGGACUGAGACACGGCCCAGACUCCUACGGGAGGCGGCAGUGGGGAAUAUUGGACAAUGGGCGAAAGCCUGAUCCAGCAAUGCCGCGUGAGUGAUGAAGGCCUUAGGGUUGUAAAGCUCUUUUACCCGGGAUGAUAAUGACAGUACCGGGAGAAUAAGCUCCGGCUAACUCCGUG